GAAAAAACUUCAAUUCCCAUCAUGCCCCAAGAGGAACUCAGAGGCUUUUCAAUGACUGCCCUAUGCAAGUGCUGUUAGCCAGCAGGGUGCUCUCUGGAGGAGGGGCCUAGGGAAGUUUUCCAGAAGAAAUGGACGCUGCUUCCAGGGAAAGAAAGAAGAGAAGAAGCUCCCCGUGGCAGGCCUCUGCCUCAGAUUUUUCUUGUGCUUAACAACUAGGUGA
rnacentral:lncRNA from 11 species